rnacentral:lncRNA from 1 species
AAUAACAGAACAUUUUUUUUACCAUAACAACUGAAAUGUUUUAAUGACUAUACAGCACAAACAAACAACAUACUAAAAUAGAUAUCUUCAAUCAGUGCUGUUGCACAAAUCUUUAGACUUCAAUAUAUAUGCACUUUUUGUACGUAUAUAUAUAAAAUAUACUUGUAUAUGAAAUAUGAGUCUAAAAAAGGACCAAUCUGCAAGGUUGUUGACUAAUGGUACAAAAUGGCGUAAAAUAUCAAUUUUAUUAUAGAACACCAAAAAGGCACAAAUUG